rnacentral:rRNA from 1 species
AUGCACAAAGCUGAUGCGGAUAGUGUUGCUGUGAAAGUUUGUACAAGCAAACUUGGUGGCUCCCCUGUUCGUCGGAGUCCACGAGGUUUGACAAAUAAGAAGCCUUCUUCGUCUCCUCUUCAAGGGCUGUCUUUGUUGAAAGAAAAUAAGAAGCGUAAAGUUCAUUCUGCAAAGGUGAACAAAGGUGUGAAGAAGCGUGCUCGUGUCCAAGAUGAAGAUGUUGUAACUGAAGAAGAUGAUAUUGAAGUUGAUUCAGAAGAUGAAUUUGCGGUGCCUGUUAGCGUUAUGAGUCCGGUCAAGCCGGUGGGAGACAAUGCCGGAAAAGUUGCCUUGGAUGAAGAUUAUGAUACAAUGACUCUUGACAUGGGUGAGGCUAAUAAGAAGCUUCGCAUCACUAGCGAUGGUAUACAACAAUUAUUUGGUUUCCCUCGUGGUGGUCAUUCUGCACGAAGGCCGUCAGAGGACGAAUAUGACAACGCUCUGAUGAAUUUAAGAUCGGAUCUUGACAUUAGCAGGAACAAAGAUAUCAAGACAAAGGAUUUGAGGAAUAAGCUCAAGGAGCUCGUCAAGGAUCCUAGCAAAGAUGACCUUGCUCUGAAAGUGUUCUUCAUUAUUGUGUUUAUGAAGGUUGUGUUGCCUGGUUCUGCCACGCAUGUUUCUAGAGAGGCAACAAUGUUUGAGGGUCUCAUCUGUGAGGACAUGGCUAAAAUGGAUUAUUACCAGCUAAUGGUUGAUGAGCUUAGAAGGGAUGUUGCCAAGUACCAGGAUGGUGAUACCAUGGGGAAGGCAAUCAUAGGCUGUUCCAUAGGUCCUGUACUAAUGUACCUUGACUGCCUUAUCCGUGGCAAGACUGCGGAACCUGACAUGCGAGUCCCCCGCAUAUGUUUCAUGGAUCCUGCCAAGCUUUCUGAUCUGGUUUAUGCAGAUUUGAUAAAAAAAGGCAAUGCAGAUCCAAAGACUUGGGUGUUUGGGAAGCUUCUGUGGAAAACUCACGAGGAGGUUUUUUUUUCGAGUGUAUAA